rnacentral:rRNA from 1 species
CAGAGGGUGCGAGCGUUGUCCGGAAUCACUGGGCGUAAAGGGCGCGUAGGUGGCGACCCAAGUCUGUGGUGAAAGCUCGCCGCUCAACGGCGCGUCGGCCACGGAUACUGGGUGCUCGAGCACUGUAGAGGCAGAUGGAAUUCCGGGUGUAGCGGUGGAAUGCGUAGAGAUCCGGAAGAACACCGGUGGCGAAGGCGGUCUGCUGGGCAGUAGCUGACACUGAGGCGCGACAGCGUGGGGAGCAAACAGGAUUAGAUACCCUGGUAGUCCACGCCGUAAUCGAUGGGCACUAGAUGCUUGGGGGAGCGACCCCCUGAGUGUCGCCGCUAACGCAGUAAGUGCCCCGCCUGGGGAGUACGGCCGCAAGGCUG